CUUUCUAAUCGAGUUUUGCUAUGCUGACUCUCUUAUUUCUUUCUACCCUGCAGUUUGCGUGUUGUUUUACAACACUGCAAAAUUUGCCUGAAGAGUAAAUAUUUGUGAGUUUUCAGAAUCUUGUCAUGUCCCACAAAGGAAAAUAAUUUUCCUGUGCUACUUCUACUAUUACCUUGAUUUCACCGUGGGAAGGUACAGAUCUAAUCCUUUGGAAGGGGGGAACUAUGAGGUGAAGAAGCAGCCAGAGGAGUAAAACAGGCUGUCUUGUUGAAGAACAGAAGUGAGAAAUAAUCUGGAUGGGUAUCUGGUAGCCAACCAAGGCAUGAACUCAUGGAAACAAGUUCUGAUGAUAGAGUUUGCCCAGCCAGCAUGAAAAAGAUACGAUGAUGAAAAUACAGCAGGCCAACUCUAUGUACAUGCACAACAUAUCUGGGCUAAGAAUAAAAAAAUUCUUCAUUAUUCUCACUGCAGACGUAUCAGUGCUCUGUUGCUUAGUAAUUCUCUGCAAUGGGCUUGAAUUAAAUCUUUUCUGCUGAUUUUAAAUUUCUUCUACUGUUAUCAACCUCUGACAAAUCCAUAGAGAAAUUACAGGGCAGCUUUCCUGAAACAUAACUCUGUAUUGCUUCAUGAAAUAACAUGUAGUCACCUCAUAUUAAUGACCAG
rnacentral:lncRNA from 1 species